CCUACGGGCGGCAGCAGUGGGGAAUAUUGGGCAAUGGGCGCAAGCCUGACCCAGCAACGCCGCGUGAAGGAAGAAGUCUUUCGGGUUGUAAACUUCUUUUCUCAGGGACGAAGCAAGUGACGGUACCGGAGGAAUAAGCCACGGCUAACUACGCGCCAGCCGCCGCGGGAAGACGUAGGUGGCAAGCGUUAUCCGGAUUUACUGGGUGUAAAGGGCGUGUAGGCGGGACUGCAAGUCAGAUGUGAAAGCCUUGUGCUCAACCUGUGGCCUGCAUUUGAAACUGUCGUUCUUGAGUACUGGGUAGGCAGGCGGAUUUCCUAGUGUAGCGGUGAAAUGCGUAGAUAUUAGGAGGAACACCAGUGGCGAAGGCGGUCUGCUGGACAGCAACUGACGCUGAGGCGCGAACGCGUGGGGAGCAAACAGGAUUAGAUACCCCAGUAGUC
rnacentral:rRNA from 1 species